CUCCUCAGCUCUUUCUGGGACAGUGGCGCGGCUGCCCCUCUGUGGGUCUUCCUUGGUCUCUUGUGUUCUGGGGGCCUCUGGAUGUCUGGAGUUUUGAUCUCCUCCAUACCUGCUUCACACCCUGGAGGACGGGGCUGUGGCCCCCCCACACUCCCUAGCAGAUCGUUACAUGGAGAAACCUUUGGAAUACAAGCGCGCUGAUCCACACAGGUGAUCCAGGAGAUUUUUAUUUUUUUUCUCCCCCCCUUUCUCACUGUCCCUCUCCCCUUCUGUUUUUCCUUUCCUUCCUCUUUCUUUCUCCCUUUCCUAUCUCUCACUCAUGUCUGUCCCGUCUGUAACAUCUGAAAAUAAAAUAUAAUAAAUAAUAAAAACAAAGAUCGACCAAAUGGACCAAUACGGCAAUGCCACGAUGAUCCAUUUGGCAAAGUAAAUCCAUUGGGUCUCCUUGUUGGUCUUCAGACAACAAUUCUGAUGGCUAAAGAACCAAAUGGGACAGGCGAAAAAAAAAAGAAAAAAAAAAAGAAAAAACAAAAGUUGUAUCCAAGAUGGCCGACUUCUAAAUGGCCACCAUGGUCGCCGCCCAUCUUGAGGAGUUUGCCCCUCACAUAUACUAAUGUGCCACAAACAGGACUUUAAUAUCACCAACCAUUCCCAUGUUGUUACACUGUAUCCAUAGAAAUGGCCCACCCUGUACAAUGUGUUUGAUGUAUGAAGCUAAAAUUUCAGCGUGCACAUUAUAGCCGCUCAAACUUUGGACCGUAACAUUUUUGUUCAAACUUUGACGGUCAAGAAGAAAUGGAGCGACCCCGAAUAUUUUCACCUCGGUGCUUCCUGUCUCUUGCUCUUUUGUCACUUCCCACAUGUGUAGUUAUUGCUGCUCACUUCCUGUUUUAUUUUGGUAGUCUCUCCUGGCCUUGAUUCUUAUCACCUGUGUCUCCCUGUGUGCAGGAUUCAGGCGUUUUAUUGUCCUGACUGGAAACUUUUACAGACAGUCGAGAAAUGAUCCACAAAGAGCAGAAAGAACUCCACAUCCAAAAUACACCAAAUAUACAAAAUCAUGACACGUAAUCCUGCAGUAAAAAAAUCACUACUGUGUGUAAAAACCACUAAAACGGUGC
ensembl:lncRNA